rnacentral:rRNA from 1 species
CUACGUGCCAGCAGCCGCGGUAAUACGUAGGGAGCGAGCGUUGUCCGGAUUUACUGGGUGUAAAGGGUGCGUAGGCGGCCAUGCAAGUCAGGUGUGAAAACCCGGGGCUUAACCCCGGGACUGCAUUUGAAACUGUGUGGCUUGAGUGAAGUAGAGGCAGGCGGAAUUCCCGGUGUAGCGGUGAAAUGCGUAGAGAUCGGGAGGAACACCAGUGGCGAAGGCGGCCUGCUGGGCUUUAACUGACGCUGAGGCACGAAAGCAUGGGUAGCA